UCAAACGAAGCACUUUAGUUGAUUUCUUCGGAAUGAGCUUUUUGUGACUGAGUGGGGGACGGUUGAUUAACGCGUGCUCUAGCCUGCCUCAUACGGGGGGAUAAGAGAUGGAAACGACUGCUACUAGCGCAUACCCGCACAGGAUUGCAUGAUCCAGUGUGAAACACUCCGGUGGUAUGAGAUGGACCCGCGUCUGAUUACCCAGGUGGGGGGGUGCCGGCCCACCAAAGCGACGAUCAGUAGUCGACCUGAGAGGGUGACCGGCCACAUUGGGACUGAGACACGGCCCACACUCCUACGGGAGGCAGUAGUGGGGAAUAUUGCACAGUGGGGGACACCCUGAUGCAGCGACGCCGCGUGAGCGAAGAAGUAUUUUGGUAUGUAAAGCUCUAUCAGCAGGGAAGAAGAAUGACGGUACCUGACUAAGAAGCACCGGCUAAAUACGUGCCAGCAGCCGCGGUAAUACGUAUGGUGCAAGCGUUAUCCGGAUAUACUGGGUGUAAAGGGAGCGCAGGCGGUACGGCAAGUCUGAUGUGAAAUCCCGCGGGCUCAACCCCGGUCCUGCAUUGGAAACUGUCAGUCUAGAGUGUCGGAGGGGCAAGUGGAAUUCCUAGUGUAGCGGUGAAAUGCGUAGAUAUUAGGAGGAACACCAGUGGCGAAGGCGGCUUACUGGACGAUUACUGACGCUGAGGCUCGAAAGCGUGGGGAGCAAACAGGAUUAGAUACCCUGGUAGUCCACGCCGUAAACGAC
rnacentral:rRNA from 1 species